UGGGGAAUAUUGCGCAAUGGGCGAAAGCCUGACGCAGCAACACCGCGUGAGGGAUGACGGCCUUCGGGUUGUAAACCUCUUUCAGCUCCGACGAAGCGAAAGUGACGGUAGGAGCAGAAGAAGCACCGGCUAACUACGUGCCAGCAGCCGCGGUAAUACGUAGGGUGCAAGCGUUGUCCGGAAUUAUUGGGCGUAAAGAGCUCGUAGGCGGUCCGUUGCGUCUGCCGUGAAAACCCGGAGCUCAACUCCGGGCCUGCGGUGGAUACGGGCGGACUAGAGUCCGGUAGGGGAGACUGGAAUUCCUGGUGUAGCGGUGGAAUGCGCAGAUAUCAGGAGGAACACCGGUGGCGAAGGCGGGUCUCUGGGCCGGAACUGACGCUGAGGAGCGAAAGCGUGGGGAGCGAACAGGAUUAGAUACCCUGGUAGUCCACGCCGUAAAACGAUGUCUGCUAGUCGUUGGGGAGCAUAGCUCUUCGGUGACGCAGCUAACGCAUUAAGCAGACCGCCUGGGG
rnacentral:rRNA from 1 species